AGAGUUUGAUCCUGGCUCAGAUUGAACGCUGGCGGCAUGCCUUACACGUGCAAGUCGAACGGCAGCACGGGGCAACCUGGUGGCGAGUGGCGAACGGGUGAGUAAUGCAUCGGAACGUGCCAUUGAGUGGGGGAUAACGUAGCGAAAGUUGCGCUAAUACCGCAUAUUCUGUGAGCAGGAAAGCAGGGGACCGCAAGGCCUUGCGCUCUUUGAGCGGCCGAUGUCAGAUUAGCUAGUUGGUGAGGUAACGGCUUACCAAGGCGACGAUCUGUAGCGGGUCUGAGAGGAUGAUCCGCCACACUGGAACUGAGACACGGUCCAGACUCCUACGGGAGGCAGCAGUGGGGAAUUUUGGACAAUGGGGGCAACCCUGAUCCAGCCAUGCCGCGUGAGUGAAGAAGGCCUUCGGGUUGUAAAGCUCUUUCGGCCGGGAAGAAAUCGCAUGGGCCAAUACCCUGUGUGGAUGACGGUACCGGAAUAAGAAGCACCGGCUAACUACGUGCCAGCAGCCGCGGUAAUACGUAGGGUGCGAGCGUUAAUCGGAAUUACUGGGCGUAAAGCGUGCGCAGGCGGUUUUGUAAGACAGGCGCGAAAUCCCCGGGCUCAACCUGGGAACUGCGUUUGUGACUGCAAGGCUAGAGUACGGCAGAGGGGGGUGGAAUUCCACGUGUAGCAGUGAAAUGCGUAGAGAUGUGGAGGAACACCAAUGGCGAAGGCAGCCCCCUGGGUCGAUACUGACGCUCAUGCACGAAAGCGUGGGUAGCAAACAGGAUUAGAUACCCUGGUAGUCCACGCCCUAAACUAUGUCAACUAGGUGUUGGGUGGGUAAAACCACUUAGUACCGUAGCUAACGCGUGAAGUUGACCGCCUGGGGAGUACGGCCGCAAGGUUAAAACUCAAAGGAAUUGACGGGGACCCGCACAAGCGGUGGAUGAUGUGGAUUAAUUCGAUGCAACGCGAAAAACCUUACCUACCCUUGACAUGCCAGGAACUUGCCAGAGAUGGCUUGGUGCCCGAAAGGGAGCCUGAACACAGGUGCUGCAUGGCUGUCGUCAGCUCGUGUCGUGAGAUGUUGGGUUAAGUCCCGCAACGAGCGCAACCCUUGUCGCUAAUUGCCAUCAUUAGUUGGGCACUUUAGCGAGACUGCCGGUGACAAACCGGAGGAAGGUGGGGAUGACGUCAAGUCCUCAUGGCCCUUAUGGGUAGGGCUUCACACGUCAUACAAUGGUCGGUACAAAGGGUCGCCAAGCCGCGAGGUGGAGCCAAUCCCAGAAAGCCGAUCGUAGUCCGGAUUGCAGGCUGCAACUCGCCUGCAUGAAGUCGGAAUCGCUAGUAAUCGUGGAUCAGCAUGUCACGGUGAAUACGUUCCCGGGUCUUGUACACACCGCCCGUCACAC
rnacentral:rRNA from 1 species